rnacentral:lncRNA from 13 species
UUGCUUUGUUACACAUCAUUGAUCAUGAUAUUAGCUGUGGACUUUUCAUGAUGGCCUUACUAUAUUGAGAUUUCUGUUGUAUGCUCCAUGACAGCAGAGACUACUUACCCAAAGGUGAAUCUCCUCAAACCUAAGGGUGUUCAGUUGGGGAAGAGGUGACUGUGUGUGGUGACGGCCCCAGAGGACAGAAUAUUAAUAAUGUAGUUGAUAACCUUCAACACAGGUAGGCUUGCUGUAAGUAUAAUUUAUGGAAAUAAAAAUACAUUCUUUCCCA